GGCGGGGCGCGGCGGCAGUGGCGGAGCGGCCCCUCGGCCAUCCUCCCGUCUGCCAGUUACCGCUUCCGCUACCGCCGCCGCUCCCGCU
rnacentral:pre_miRNA from 1 species